UACGUAGGGUGCAAGCGUUGUCCGGAAUUAUUGGGCGUAAAGAGCUCGUAGGCGGUUUGUCGCGUCGACUGUGAAAACUCGGGGCUCAACUCCGAGCUUGCAGUCGAUACGGGCAGGCUAGAGUUCGGUAGGGGAGACUGGAAUUCCUGGUGUAGCGGUGAAAUGCGCAGAUAUCAGGAGGAACACCGAUGGCGAAGGCAGGUCUCUGGGCCGAUACUGACGCUGAGGAGCGAAAGCGUGGGGAGCGAACAGG
rnacentral:rRNA from 1 species